UACGUAGGGUCCGAGCGUUGUCCGGAAUUACUGGGCGUAAAGAGCUCGUAGGUGGUUUGUCGCGUUGUUCGUGAAAACUCACAGCUUAACUGUGGGCGUGCGGGCGAUACGGGCAGACUUGAGUACUGCAGGGGAGACUGGAAUUCCUGGUGUAGCGGUGGAAUGCGCAGAUAUCAGGAGGAACACCGGUGGCGAAAGCGGGUCUCUGGGCAGUAACUGACGCUGAGGAGCGAAAGCGUGGGGAGCGAACAGG
rnacentral:rRNA from 1 species